rnacentral:rRNA from 1 species
GAUGAACGCUAGCGGCAGGCUUAAUACAUGCAAGUCGAGGGGCAUCAAGGUACACGAAAGUGUAUUGUUGGCGACCGGCGGACGGGUGAGUAAUAGGUAGGUAACCUACCUCAUACUGAGGCAUAGCUGGGAGAAAUUCCAGGUAAUUCCUCAUGAGGUUAUAUGACACAUGUGAUAUAAUCAAAGGUAUCGCAAGGUACUGGUAUGAGAUGGGCUUACUGACCAUUAGCUAGUUGGUGAGAUAAGAGCUCACCAAGGCGAAGAUGGUUAGGGGUUUUGAGAGAGAGAUCCCCCACAUUGGAACUGAGAUACGGUCCAGACUCCUACGGGAGGCAGCAGUAGGGAAUAUUGGGCAAUGGGCGGAAGCCUGACCCAGCCAUGCCGCGUGAAGGAAGACGGCCUUAUGGGUUGUAAACUUCUUUACUAUGCGACUAACUAGAUUUACGAGAUAAUUCCAUAGAAUGUAGCAUAGCAAAAGCACCGG